UUAAAUUCAGGGGGUCUUCCCACUUCAUCUGAGGUCUAAUUCAUAGAUGCACAAAGCUGCGAACCCUUGAAGCAAGCUUCUUGGAUACACACCUUUGUUCAUUAGUUUCUUUUGGCUACAUAACAUAGGGUUUGUGGAUUGGAUUCACAAUUAAGUGAAAGCAACUUGCCACGAACACACACAGUCGUGCGGCUGAGAUU
rnacentral:misc_RNA from 1 species